rnacentral:rRNA from 1 species
AUGAGUCUGUUAGAGUAUGUAAUGGGCCUGGGCUGGCGGUAUAGCCCGUUAGUCUUAGGGUUAAUUAGAGAUAAGGGUCGCUUGCUGCAAGGCUUGAUGGCUUCUUCAAUCAUCGUCAACAGCACGGUCCAGGGUGAGACUUUUCUCUCCGGACAGAUCUUCGUGUUCGGCGGCUUUGCACUGCGGGUCAAUUCGCUUGGCCAACUGGAGCAGAUCGAUAGCAACGCCCCUGGCCACCAGGUUAGGUUCGGAAACCUGAACUACACGACCGACAUCCAUGGAGACUUGAUCUUCAACGAGUCCGGGCCUGCGCCAGGAGCGUCGGACAAUCACGAUGAGCGCGGCCUAGACCUGCUGUCGGAUAAUGCUCGGGAUAUCACCCCUGCAGUGGCCCCGGACCUAAAUCUGGAGCAGACUGCAUUGCCCAAGGACGGGUGGAUGGACCCUGCCCCGUGGGCCGCACACUCAUCGGCGGUAGAGCCGAACACAGGCCUCACCCCUAAAGAAGCCUGUGACGCCGGACCCCCGGACUCGUAUCCGGCUGUAGGUUCCAGUCCGCGCGCUCUCGAGCCCGCCGAGCCUGGUUGGGCUCCGGUAAUGGAGUUCACCUCUACGGAUAUCUUCCAGCACUCGCCCCUUGGCGACGUGCUGAACUCAUUAAAGUCUCUCUCUCUGUCAGGAGACUCAUGGCCGAACUAUGUCUGGCUCGAGUGGGAAGCAGGCGACGAAGGAAUUCGUUGCCCACCCACCACCCACUUCAUUGCCAUGGUCGAUGAUUUAACCGACGUGCUUGACUUCGACUCCAAAGACAUCGACGGUAUGGACGACGAUGCAGGGGAAGAACAGGAACCACCGCUCACGGGGUGGUGGACAACCACCUCCUCAUAUGAUAUAUAUAUGGUGGACACUCCGAAGGAAACCAAUGGCGAUGAGGCAACGGAGGAUAACCCCUCAGGGAAGAAAGCAAAGCAUGGGCAUCGCCGGCGCCGCUCCAAGCCCCGCCAUAGCAAUACUAACACAGGAGAUGAAAACAACCCGGAUGGUGCCGAAGUGGAAUACAACCCUGAUCAGCCUGCCUUCGAGCAGGCCGAGCAGGAGACGGGCAGGCCAGCCCAGACGAACAAACGACUGACGGAUAUCCGGAGGAGGACGACUACAUGCCCCAUCCAAAGACGAGGUUAG